CCUACGGGUGGCUGCAGUGGGGAAUAUUGCACAAUGGGCGCAAGCCUGAUGCAGCCAUGCCGCGUGUGUGAAGAAGGCCUUCGGGUUGUAAAGCACUUUCGGCGGGGAGGAAGGCGGUGAGGUUAAUAACCUCAUCGAUUGACGUUACCCGCAGAAGAAGCACCGGCUAACUCCGUGCCAGCAGCCGCGGUAAUACGGAGGGUGCAAGCGUUAAUCGGAAUUACUGGGCGUAAAGCGCACGCAGGCGGUCUGUCAAGUCGGAUGUGAAAUCCCCGGGCUCAACCUGGGAACUGCAUUCGAAACUGGCAGGCUAGAGUCUUGUAGAGGGGGGUAGAAUUCCAGGUGUAGCGGUGAAAUGCGUAGAGAUCUGGAGGAAUACCGGUGGCGAAGGCGGCCCUCUGGACAAAGACUGACGCUCAGGUGCGAAAGCGUGGGGAGCAAACAGGAUUAGAUACCCGGGUAGUC
rnacentral:rRNA from 1 species